UACAGAGGUCUCAAGCGUUGUUCGGAAUCACUGGGCGUAAAGGGUGCGUAGGUGGCGUGGUAAGUCAGAUGUGAAAGCCCGGGGCUCAACCUCGGAAUUGCAUCCGAUACUGCCGUGCUCGAGUACUGAAGGGGUGACUAGAAUUCUCGGUGUAGCAGUGAAAUGCGUAGAUAUCGAGAGGAAUACCAAAGGCGAAGGCAGGUCACUGGGCAGUUACUGACACUGAGGCACGAAGGCCAGGGGAGCGAACGGGAUUAGAUACCCCGGUAGUCCUGGCAGUAAACGGUGCACACUUGGUGUGGGAGGAUUCGACCCCUCCUGUGCCGGAGCUAACGCGUUAAGUGUGCCGCCUGGGAAGUACGGUCGCAAGAUUA
rnacentral:rRNA from 1 species